AUUACCAUGAGCAAAUCAGAGUGUUUAAAGCAGGCUUUAUGGCUUGAAUGAGUUAGCAUGGGAUAACGGAAUACGACUAUGGUCUAUUUCGUUGGUUUUAAAGACCAAAGUAAUGAUGAAUAGGAGUGGUCGAGGGUAUUUGUAUUUGGGCGCUAGAGGUGAAAUUCUUGGAUUG
rnacentral:rRNA from 1 species